UACGAAGGGGGCUAGCGUUGCUCGGAAUUACUGGGCGUAAAGGGCGCGUAGGCGGCACUGUUAGUCAGGCGUGAAAUUCCUGGGCUCAACCUGGGGACUGCGCUUGAUACGGCAGAGCUAGAGGAUGGAAGAGGCUCGCGGAAUUCCCAGUGUAGAGGUGAAAUUCGUAGAUAUUGGGAAGAACACCGGUGGCGAAGGCGGCGAGCUGGUCCAUUACUGACGCUGAGGCGCGACAGCUAGGGGAGCAAACAGG
rnacentral:rRNA from 1 species